ensembl:snRNA U2 U2 spliceosomal RNA
AUUGCUUCUCAGCCUUUUGGGGAAACUCGAGUGUAGGGUUUGUUCUUACCAGUUUCAUAUCUGAUAAGUCCUUGCUGUAAGGACUUGCUGUUAAAUGGCAAUGUAGAGCCAGGAGAUGCUUUAGGAGCUUGCUGCAGCUGCUCCACACAUUGCCCUGGUACUGCAGUGCCUCCAAAAGAAGUGCGCUGUCA